rnacentral:rRNA from 1 species
GAUGAACGCUAGCGGCAGGCUUAAUACAUGCAAGUCGAGGGGCGAGCGGGGUAGCAAUACCGCCGGCGACCGGCAAACGGGUGCGGAACACGUACAGAACCUUCCUUUAAGCGGGGAAUAGCCCGGAGAAAUCCGGAUUAAUACCCCAUAGUAAUAUUGGUUGGCAUCAACUGGUAUUUAAAGAUUUAUCACUUAAAGAUGGCUGUGCGGCUGAUUAGGUAGUUGGUUGAGGUAACGGCUCACCAAGCCAACGAUCAGUAACUGGUGUGAGGGCACGACCAGUCACACGGGCACUGAGACACGGGCCCGACUCCUACGGGAGGCAGCAGUAAGGAAUAUUGGUCAAUGGACGCAAGUCUGAACCAGCCAUGCCGCGUGAAGGAUGAAGGUCCUCUGGAUUGUAAACUUCUUUUAUCUGGGACGAAACCCCCGUUUUUUAAUGGGAUUGACGGUACCAGAGGAAUAAGCACCGGCUAACUCCGUGCCAGCAGCCGCUGUAAG